rnacentral:lncRNA from 1 species
CUUGACUGGCGAGUUUCCAGGUGAUUAUGGGUGGGACACCGCUGGACUCUCAGCUGACCCUGAAACAUUCGCCAGGAACCGUGAGCUUGAGGUGAUCCAUUGCCGUUGGGCCAUGCUUGGUGCUUUGGGUUGUGUCUUCCCUGAAAUCCUUUCCAAGAAUGGUGUUAAAUUCGGUGAGGCAGUUUGGUUCAAGGCUGGAUCUCAAAUUUUCUCAGAAGGCGGUCUUGACUACCUUGGUAACCCAAACCUUAUUCAUGCACAGAGCAUUCUUGCUAUUUGGGCAUCCCAAGUUGUGCUCAUGGGCUUAAUUGAAGGAUACAGAGUUGGCGGAGGCCCACUGGGUGAAGGUCUUGACAAAAUUUAUCCGGGAGGAGCUUUUGACCCACUAGGGCUCGC